GCAAUCAUACCAACACUAAUGUACUUGAUCCCAUCAGAACUCUAUAGUUAAGCGUGCAUAGGCGAGAAUAGUACUAGGAUGGGUGACCCCUGGGAAGUCCUCAUGUUGCACCCC